rnacentral:rRNA from 1 species
UACGGGGGGGGCAAGCGUUGUUCGGAUUCAUUGGGCGUAAAGGGUGCGUAGGAGGGCAGGUAAGUCAGUGGUGAAAUCUCCAAGCUUAACUUGGAAACUGCCGUUGAUACUAUCUGUCUUGAAUAUUGUGGAGGUGAGCGGAAUAUGUCAUGUAGCGGUGAAAUGCUUAGAUAUGACAUAGAACACCAAUUGCGAAGGCAGCUCACUACUCAAUCAUUGACUCUGAGGCACGAAAGCGUGGGGAUCAAACAGG